AAGAAACUUCUGUUUUCAUUUCGACCAUUUAGAGUAAAGAAAACUGUGCAACUUCUUUCUUUAAGGUAACUUCUGGAAUGAGCCCUGCAUUUAAUCGAUAUGGAUGUACUUUAAUCGGUAACCUUUCAGCUUUAUCUUAACAACUCAUUGUGCGAAAAUGAUUACUCUGGAGUUCAAUUCUUUCAUAUAAUGCAGUGCUUGCGGAAUGGAAGCCUCCGGUGUAUGACAAUGAUGGUGGAAUUGUGCUGGUGACCGCAACCACACGCCGCAACUCGCCUAAUGUAUGAAUUUGGUUCCACGUUUCUGUUCAUGAUAUAACAUAAAUAAAAUAAAAUAAAAACUUGUUUGUAAAAUAUUGUUGAUUUCUGAAAUUCUUUUUGGUUUGUCAGAAUUUGGAUUCCAAGAUUCAUCACAACAACCUUCUCAAUAACAUACUAGCAAAGGUACUGUCUUCAAAACAAGAAAGUUCAAGAAUUGACGCUGUGAGAUUAAUUUUUCUUUGCAAUGGAACAAUCAGAUUGAAAGUAACAACACGAAUGCCGCUGAUGCCAUUAUGCUUGACAAGGAUGGUUAUGUGUCUGAAACCAAUGCAACCAACAUUGUAAGUAAUCCUUUGAUGAUUCCUCAGCAUGCUUUUCUAUCAAAUUUCAGUAGAUUUUUAAGAGACUAUAGAAAGCUAAUAUUGUCAACAAAAAUUUACUUUGUUCUACAGUUCAUGGUGAAGAAAGGCUGUGUACUUACUCCUCACGCAGAUUACUGUCUCCCUGGCAUAACCAGAGCUACCGUAAGAGAGAGACAUUCACUUUCGUUUUGUUAAGAAUUUUAUAUAAACCAUUCUUUUCUAUUAUCUUCCUUUCAAGGUCAUGGAACUUGUGGUGAAAGAGAACUUCAUCUUAGAAGAAAGAAGAAUCAGUCUCUCCGAAUUCCAUACAGCCGAUGAGGUUCUUUCAGCUUACAAAUUAUCAGUUUUUGGGGGUCAAAUUGAAUUAUAUGUGCCUCUCUCUCUUUCUCUAGAUAAUCUAACAAUGGUUUUGUUUUUUCAGGUAUGGACAACUGGAACUAUGGGGGAACUAAGCCCGGUAUGUACAGUCUCUAGUAGCUUACGAAUAAAACAUGCUCAAUCGUUCUGCACCUGAAUCUAUGACAUUCAUUAAUUAAAACUUUGAAUAGAUGCAAGUCAUAUCUAAAGUUCUUGAUGAAAUCUUCAGGGGAUCUUACUUGAACCAUAUGAAAAAAUAUCCUGUUCUUUUGUUACAGGUUGUGAAAAUCGAUGGACGUGUGAUUGGUGACGGCAAAGUUGGACCGGUAACGAGAACACUGCAAAACGCUUACAAGAAACUGACAGAGGAUUCAGGUGUGCCAAUACCUACUUACCAAGAACCCUGAAAUACAAAACAAGAGGUAAUCAAAGUUGCUGAAUAGUCGUCUAUCUGAGAUAGUAUAUCAAAAAUUUUGGUUAUGAUUUAAUAAUAGCUUAGCAAAUGCAAGAGUAGAUUAAAAACCAUUUUAACUUUCACAUGAUUCAAGUGGGUCUUUAUACCGUUUAUUUAGGUUUUGAAACAGAGCCACGAGGGAACUUAAUAAUAAAAAGCAAUCAACUCUCACAUGAUUCAAUUGGUUUUGAGGAAAAAACAUGAAGCUUUUGCGUCAUCUUAAUUAAUAGAUUUCCUUUCAUGUAAGUAAAGAAGCUUUC
rnacentral:lncRNA from 1 species